rnacentral:tRNA from 2 species
GCCUCGGUAGCUCAAUUGGUAGAGCAGUGGCCUCUUAAGCCAUUUGUUGUGGGUUCGAGUCCCUCCCGGGGUACCA